UUAGCACUUUCACAGGUCCUCCCCUAGACAGUGGGGCCGGGAUUUGGUAGCUGGUGCUGAAAGAAAACCUUGAUUGCAUUCUUGCCCAGGUAUUAUACCAGUGGCAGCUGUCACUCAGUGGGACAGAC